UACGUAGGUGGCAAGCGUUGUCCGGAUUUGCUGGGCGUAAAGGAUGCGUAGGCGGACAUUUAAGUCAGAUGUGAAAUACCCGAGCUUAACUUGGGUGCUGCAUUUGAAACUGGGUGUCUAGAGUGCAGGAGAGGUAAGUGGAAUUCCUAGUGUAGCGGUGAAAUGCGUAGAGAUUAGGAAGAACACCAGUGGCGAAGGCGACUUACUGGACUGUAACUGACGCUGAGGCAUGAAAGCUAGGGGAGCAAGCAGG
rnacentral:rRNA from 1 species